GCAUGCUUACCAUGCAAGUCGACGAGACCUUCGGGUCUAGUGGCGCACGGGUGCGUAACGCGUGGGCAUCUGCCCUUUGCUACGGAAUAACUCAGAGAAAUUUGUGCUAAUACCGUAUAAUGUCGUAAGACCAAAGAUUUAUCGGCAAAGGAUGAGCCCGCGUAAGAUUAGCUUGUUGGUGGGGUAAAGGCCUACCAAGGCGACGAUCUUUAGCUGGUCUGAGAGGAUGAUCAGCCACACUGGGACUGAGGCACGGCCCAGACUCCUACGGGAGGCAGCAGUGGGGAAUAUUGGACAAUGGGCGAAAGCCUGAUCCAGCAAUGCCGCGUGAGUGAUGAAGGCCUUAGGGUUGUAAAGCUCUUUUACCAGGGAUGAUAAUGACAGUACCUGGAGAAUAAGCUCCGGCUAACUCCGUGCCAGCAGCCGCGGUAAUACGGAGGGAGCUAGCGUUGUUCGGAAUUACUGGGCGUAAAGCGUGCGUAGGCGGCUAUUCAAGUCAGAGGUGAAAGCCUGGAGCUCAACUCCAGAACUGCCUUUGAAACUAGAUAGCUAGAAUCUUGGAGAGGUGAGUGGAAUUCCGAGUGUAGAGGUGAAAUUCGUAGAUAUUCGGAAGAACACCAGUGGCGAAGGCGACUCACUGGACAAGUAUUGACGCUGAGGUACGAAAGCGUGGGGAGCAAACAGGAUUAGAUACCCUGGUAGUCCACGCCGUAAACGAUGAUAACUAGCUGUCCGGGCUCUCAGAGCUUGGGUGGCGCAGCUAACGCAUUAAGUUAUCCGCCUGGGGAGUACGGUCGCAAGAUUAAAACUCA
rnacentral:rRNA from 1 species